rnacentral:rRNA from 1 species
GACAGAGGCCUCGAGCGUUAGGCGGAAUCACUGGGCUUAAAGCGUGUGUAGGCGGGCCCGUAAGUGUCUUGUGAAAUCCCACGGCUCAACCGUGGAACUGCUGGGCAUGCUGCGGGUCUUGGGCCAACUAGGGGCAGCCGGAACAAGCGGUGGAGCGGUGAAAUGCGUAGAUAUCGCUUGGAACGCCGAAGGUGAAAACAGGCUGCUGGGGUUGCGCCGACGCUGAGACACGAAAGCCAGGGGAGCAAACGGG